rnacentral:rRNA from 1 species
UACGGGAGGCAGCAGUGGGGAAUAUUGGACAAUGGGCGAAAGCCUGAUCCAGCCAUGCCGCGUGUGUGAAGAAGGUCUUCGGAUUGUAAAGCACUUUAAGUUGGGAGGAAGGGCAGUUACCUAAUACGUGAUUGUUUUGACGUUACCGACAGAAUAAGCACCGGCUAACUCUGUGCCAGCAGCCGCGGUAAUACAGAGGGUGCAAGCGUUAAUCGGAAUUACUGGGCGUAAAGCGCGCGUAGGUGGUUCGUUAAGUUGGAUGUGAAAUCCCCGGGCUCAACCUGGGAACUGCAUUCAAAACUGUCGAGCUAGAGUAUGGUAGAGGGUGGUGGAAUUUCCUGUGUAGCGGUGAAAUGCGUAGAUAUAGGAAGGAACACCAGUGGCGAAGGCGACCACCUGGACUGAUACUGACACUGAGGUGCGAAAGCGUGGGGAGGCAACAGGAUUAGAUACCCUGGUAGUCCACGCCGUAAACGAUGUCAACUAGCCGUUGGGAGCCUUGAGCUCUUAGUGGCGCAGCUAACGCAUUAAGUUGACCGCCUGGGGAGUACGGCCGCAAGGUUAAAACUCAAAUGAAUUGACGGGGGCCCGCACAAGCGGUGGAGCAUGUGGUUAAUUCGAAGCAACGCGAAGAACCUUACCAGGCCUUGACAUCCAAUGAAUCU